rnacentral:lncRNA from 1 species
AUAUUGGGUGUGUGAGACCAUGAUUUCUUCCUCAUGCCAUCUCCUCUUUUUGGAAAUUUUGAGAUGCCCAAAUUGUGUUUGGUGUGAAGAUUAUGGUGCCCUCCCUUUUGACCUAAACCCCAGUCCCUAGUCUAUUUAAAGGGGGCACCAAUCUUGGAUGCCCCAAUCUUUAUUCCUCUUGCUAGUAUUUUUUAAUUUUCUAGAGCUCCUUCUCCUCUCCUCUUUCUCCUCCAGAUCCUCUCUUCAUUUGGAGCAUCCAAGGCUUUUGAAGAAGAAGGGAGAAAUCAGCCUUCA